GCCUUGUUGGUCAGUGAAGAGAAAAUACUAGUAAUAGAUCUCUAUUCUUUCCCUCUGGAAAAGCUUCAACUCUCCCUUUUGUUGCCGCUGCGAGAGGUGUAACGCAUUGGAGCUGUCGCCAGAAGUUCAGCAUGCUCAGCUAUAAUGUGCCUUGUUAAGCUAUGCCUGCUGUUGUUUGCCCUCCUCGAUUCCCAAUUUGAUUUGUCCCUUCAGGUUACUCGCUGAACUAACCUCGCUGUUGUACGCCUUCUUGCAAGUUGAACCCUGAUACCUUCACCUCAUUUGAUACCCCUUUGCCCUUUUUUGCUACCUGUUGAUUGUGGUGGUUUUGACAACUCAGAUAUUGAGACGAGGUUCGCUCGUGAAGAGUGAAAUGCUGAAAACAAAGGACCUCUUCGAAAUCGAGUUUAGAGAGCUCAAGAUUUUGUAGCAUUUUUGUGAAGUAGAAAGAGAAAAUGAUAUAUUUUUUAUGUUAAUUUUUAAAUGUAUAAAUUUAUGUUUUCUAUUCUAUGUUUUGAGUUUUUGGAGAUAGGAAUGGUUGUGAAUACUGAAUGUUUAUGGGGAUAUUUAUAUAUGUUGAAUACGAGUGGAUGAUUAAUUUAUUAUGGUUGUUAGAUAGAGAUAGUAAACUCUGGUAUUA